AGAUUGAACGCUGGCGGCAUGCCUUACACAUGCAAGUCGAACGGCAGCACGGGGGCAACCCUGGUGGCGAGUGGCGAACGGGUGAGUAACAUAUCGGAACGUGCCCUGGAGUGGGGGGAUAACUAGUCGAAAGACUAGCUAAUACCGCAUACGAUCUACGGAUGAAAGUGGGGGAUCGCAAGACCUCAUGCUCGUGGAGCGGCCGAUAUCUGAUUAGCUAGUUGGUGGGGUAAAGGCCUACCAAGGCAUCGAUCAGUAGCUGGUCUGAGAGGACGACCAGCCACACUGGGACUGAGACACGGCCCAGACUCCUACGGGAGGCAGCAGUGGGGAAUUUUGGACAAUGGGCGCAAGCCUGAUCCAGCAAUGCCGCGUGAGGAUGACGGCUUCGGUGUAACCUCUUUCAGCAGGACGAAGCGCAAGUGACGGUACCUGCAGAAGAAGCACGCUAACUACGUGCCAGCAGCCGUA
rnacentral:rRNA from 1 species